rnacentral:misc_RNA from 1 species
GAUGAAGAACGUAGCGAAAUGCGAUAAGUAGUGUGUAUUGCAGAAUUCAGUGAAUCAUCGAAUCUUUGAACGCACAUUGCGCCCUUUGGUAUUCCAAAGGGCAUGCCUGUUCGAGCGUCAUUUGUACCCUCAAGCUUUGCUUGGUGUUGGGCGUCUUGUCUCUAGCUUUGCUGGAGACUCGCCUUAAAGUAAUUGGCAGCCGGCCUACUGGUUUCGGAGCGCAGCACAAGUCGCACUCUCUAUCAGCAAAGGUCUAGCAUCCAUUAAGCCUUUUUUUCAACUUUUGACCUCGGAUCAGGUAGGGAUACCCGCUGAACUUAAGCAUAUCAAUAAGCGGAGGA